UCGGAAUUACUGGGCGUAAAGCGCGUGUAGGCUGCUAUGCAAGUCGGAUGUGAAAGCCCUCGGCUCAACCGGGGAAGUGCACCCGAAACUGCAAAGCUAGAGUCUCGGAGAGGAUCGUGGAAUUCUCGGUGUAGAGGUGAAAUUCGUAGAUAUCGAGAGGAACACCGGUGGCGAAGGCGGCGAUCUGGACGGUGACUGACGCUGAGACGCGAAAGCGUGGGGAGCAAACAGG
rnacentral:rRNA from 1 species